rnacentral:rRNA from 1 species
CGUAAGGCGCCGAAUGAGUCAUUAAAAAAUUAACAUCAUCCGAUCCCUAGUCGGCAUAGUUUAUGGUUAAGACUACGACGGUAUCUGAUCGUCUUCGAUCCCCUAACUUUCGUUCUUGAUUAAUGAAAACAUCCUUGGCAAAUGCUUUCGCAGUAGUUAGUCUUCAAUAAAUCCAAGAAUUUCACCUCUGACAAUUGAAUACUAAUGCCCCCAAUAUCCCUAUUAAUCAUUACGUCGAUCCUAGAAACCAACAAAAUAGAAUCAAACGUCCUAUUUCAUUAUUCCAUGCUAAUGUAUUCAAGCGUGAGCCUGCUUUAAACACUCUAAUUUUUUCAAAGUAACAGUCCUGAUUCCCCACAACACCAAAUAAAUGACAUCAUGGUUCGUCAGAAGGGAGAAACCAACAAUACCAGUACGUACCGAGGCACGACCGACAUGAUGGUCCCGAAAUUCAACUACGAG